AUUUAUUUAUUUUUUGGUUCUGUUUUUCCUUAACACAGGAUCUGGCUGCAUCUACACUGAAGGCCCAAAAGGUAUGGAAUAUGAUAUUCUGGAAAGCAAGGGAACUAGGUCUACAACCAAGAAUCAACUACCCAGCAAAACUGACUAUAUUCUUUCAGGGGAAAGUAUGGUUGUUUAAUAAAAUAGAAGACUUCCAAGCAUUCAUAAAGAAAAAACCAGACUUGAACAGAAAAUUUGAUGACCAAACUUAGAACCCAAGAGAAUAACCAAAAGCAGUCGUUUGCCAUAUAUAAGGAAAUGCAAGAGACAGUUCAGUUCCAGAUCAAUGAUUGUGACAAAACCAAGGAAAACCACAUUCCAGAUCAUGGAAUCUCCUCUGCUAAGGAGCAAUAGUCUUCGCCACAUUGCCAAAGCAGUCCAUGGCAAAAAACGGGAUUAUGAACUCCUGCCACAUUGCUUACUCAAGAUGACCAGUUCACUAGACUCUUCAGGUGCUGGAUCCAGGGAUAUGCCAGAGUCAGCUCUAAUCAACUCCUAAGAACCAAUCAUUAAAUCUUCAACAUGAGCAGUUAUAUCUUGGAAAACAUCAAAAUCUACAAAUCAGAGCUUUGUUUAUUAUUUUAAUUGCCUAAACUUUGGAAAGUGAUAAACAUCAUAACAUAAUUUAAACUUGAAAAUGUAUACUUUUAAAACUGGAGUCUGUUGUUAAACAUUUGACAUUACAUGCCUAGAUAAGAAUAUUGAUUGAUGCUCUGAGUGAAAACUGAGGUCUAGGUCUUUUUAAAUGGAUGAAAAUCAUUGUUAUGUUACCCUACCACCUUCUCUUCUCUAGGCCAAAUGAUUUAAGUUCCAUUAG
rnacentral:lncRNA from 1 species